AUUGAACGCUGGCGGCAGGCCUAACACAUGCAAGUCGGACGGUAGCACAGAGAGCUUGCUCUUGGGUGACGAGUGGCGGACGGGUGAGUAAUGUCUGGGGAUCUGCCCGAUAGGGGGGGAUAACCACUGGAAACGGUGGCUAAUACCGCAUAACGUCGCAAGACCAAAGAGGGGGACCUUCGGGCCUCUCACUAUCGGAUGAACCCAGAUGUGGAUUAGCUAGUAGGCGGGGUAAUGGCCCACCUAGGCGACGAUCCCUAGCUGGUCGGGGAGGAUGACCAGCCACACUGGAACUGAGACACGGUCCAGACUCCUACGGGAGGCAGCAGUGGGGAAUAUUGCACAAGGGGCGCAAGCCUGAUGCAGCCAUGCCGCGUGUAUGAAGAAGGCCUUCGGGUUGUAAAGUACUUUCAGCGGGGAGGAAGGCGGUGCGGUUAAUAACCGUACCGAUUGACGUUACCCGCAGAAGAAGCACCGGCUAACUCCGUGCCAGCCGCCGCCGUAA
rnacentral:rRNA from 1 species